GACGAACGCUGGCGGCGUGCUUAACACAUGCAAGUCGAACGGAAAGGCCCUGCUUUUGUGGGGUGCUCGAGUGGCGAACGGGUGAGUAACACGUGAGUAACCUGCCCUUGACUUUGGGAUAACUUCAGGAAACUGGGGCUAAUACCGGAUAGGAGCUCCUGCUGCAUGGUGGGGGUUGGAAAGUUUCGGCGGUUGGGGAUGGACUCGCGGCUUAUCAGCUUGUUGGUGGGGUAGUGGCUUACCAAGGCUUUGACGGGUAGCCGGCCUGAGAGGGUGACCGGCCACAUUGGGACUGAGAUACGGCACAGACUGCUACGGGAGGCAGCAGUGGGGAAUAUUGCACAAUGGGAGGAAGCAUGAUGCAGCAACGCCGCGUGCGGGAUGACGGCCUUCGGGUUGUAAACCGCUUUCGCCUGUGACGAAGCGUGAGUGACGGUAAUGGGUAAAGAAGCACCGGCUAACUACGUG
rnacentral:rRNA from 1 species